AUGAUCUUCAAGUGUUCGGGAUUUGAUAUGUCAAGUUAAUUAUCUACCAGCACGAGUAACCUGAGCAACAGAUAGACGGGACUAUAUAUUUGUUUUAAAAGGGCCCUGUAGGUCACAUCUGUGCAACCUCUGUUUCACACCAAAAGCUGUUUUAAUAAUUUUGGAAGUUAAGGAUCGUCUGGCAGGAACAUUUUGACCAUUUUCUUUCUAGGAUGUUGAAAUUGGAGAGUGUGGAAAAUGUCAGAAUAUUUUGGCAGCAUUUGAGCCUUCAAUAUGAAUGACAAAGUUACUGUGCUGGAAACUGGAAGCACUGCCGAAGUCUGGAGUUCAGACAGCAAAGCCUUUUAAGAUGCUGAAGUCAAUGGCUUCCUGUUGAAAUCCAGUAUGGUCUGAAUCACUUGUUUAUUCCACUGCCAAUGUCGGAAACCAUGCCAGUCCGACAUCAUUCAGGUUGUUCUCUCAUCUAUCCGUAAUACCCUUGUGGGCAAUGUAGCAAUGGUGACCGAAGGUUUGGAUGUAAUUUCAGUGCUCCGUGUUCUGCCUGUGCUGCGGGUAUCAGAGGUUAUGGGGAGAAGGCAGGAGAAAGGGGUUAGGAGGGAGAGGUAGAUCAGCCAUGAUUGAAUGGCGGAGUAGACUCGAUGGGCCGAAUGGCCUAAUUCCACUCCGGUUACAUGAGCUUAUGACUUAUUCCUCUGCUGUCUGGCCCGCUGAGUUACCCCCGUUGCAAGUUUCCUGCAUCUGCAGUUCCUUGUGUCUUCAUCAAUGAUCCUGUGCUGUUGGCUAAUUGCAACCAGAUCAGCUGUACUGUUACAGAUGGGAUCAAAAGGGAUCCUACGCAAAUGCUAUUUAGACCAUUUGCCAUUUUCCACAAUUGAAAGAGGUGAUUGUUUUUAACAUUAUGAGUGUAAAAUAAAUCUCUCACUUUAAGAUGUUGAAUAAAAUGAACACCAAUUGGUGUUUACGGGGGAACU